AGAGUUUGAUCCUGGCUCAGGAUGAACGCUGGCGGCGUGCUUAACACAUGCAAGUCGAACGGUAACAGGUCUUCGGAUGCUGACGAGUGGCGAACGGGUGAGUAAUACAUCGGAACGUGCCCAGUAAUGGGGGAUAGCUCGGCGAAAGCCGGAUUAAUACCGCAUACGCCCUGAGGGGGAAAGCGGGGGAUCUUCGGACCUCGCGCUAUUGGAUGAGCCUAAGUCGGAUUAGCUUGUUGGUGAGGUAAUAGCUCACCAAGGCGACGAUCCGUAGCUGGUCUGAGAGGACGAUCAGCCGCACUGGAACUGAGGCACGGCCCAGACUCCUACGGGAGGCAGCAAUGGGGAAUAUUGGACAAUGGGCGCAAGCCUGAUCCAGCAAUGCCGCGUGUGUGAAGAAGGCCUGCGGGUUGUAAAGCACUUUCAGAUGGGAGGAAAAGCCUAAGGCUAAUACCCUUGGGUCUUGACGUUACCAUCAGAAGAAGCACCGGCUAACUCCGUGCCAGCAGCCGCGGUAAUACGGAGGGUGCAAGCGUUAAUCGGAAUUACUGGGCGUAAAGGGCGCGUAGGUGGUUCUGUAAGUCGGGUGUGAAAGCCCCGGGCUCAACCUGGGAAUUGCAUUCGAUACUGUAGAACUAGAGUAUGGUAGAGGGAAGUAGAAUUCCCGGUGUAGCGGUGAAAUGCGUAGAUAUCGGGAGGAAUACCAGUGGCGAAGGCGGCUUCCUGGACCAAUACUGACACUGAGGCGCGAAAGCGUGGGUAGCAAACAGGAUUAGAUACCCUGGUAGUCCACGCCGUAAACGAUGAGAACUAGCCGUUGGGGGGUUUAAACCCUUUAGUGGCGCAGCUAACGCGAUAAGUUCUCCGCCUGGGGAGUACGGCCGCAAGGUUAAAACUCAAAGGAAUUGACGG
rnacentral:rRNA from 1 species